UGUACAUGGAGAAUUGACGUGAGAACACCCAUUUCCUCUUUGUGUCCAAUGAUCUCAGUUCUCUGAUGCUGUGGUGUAUUAUUUUUCUUUCGAGGUGGCGAGUUUUCGAUGUUCGCUUAUAUUUGAGCACAAAAAAGUUGCCAGUUAACAUUUGCUCCUUCUUAUUAUUAUACAUUCUUUGGUGAAACUGAAUGGAAUUAAUCCUUAUUAAUCUGCCACGGAAAAUUUUUUUUAUUUUGAAAUUUUUUCAAUACAUAUACAUAUGUAUAUAUGGUAUAUAUUUUACAAUCUCGAGUUAGAUAUAGGGUUAUAUAUAUCAACAUGAUCAGGGUGAUGAGUAAAGUUCAAAUCCGGAUGUCUGUCUGUCCGCAAGCUGUAACUUGAGUAUAAAUUGAAAUAUCCUGAUGAAACUUGGUAGACGUAUUUCUUGGCACCAUAAGAAGUUUAGGUACGAAGAUGGGCGUAAUCGGACCACUACCACUCCCACAAAAUGGCAAUAACCGAAAACAUAUAAAGAAUAAUUACGUAGAAUUGAAAACUACUAAAAAUGCUUUAAUUCAGUAAGGAAAACCACCAGAAACUAAAUUAAAAUUUCAUUAUAAAGAAGGUAUAGAAGAGCUGCACUCAAAAUGGUAUACAGAAAUUUAAAUGGGCGUGGUUCCGCCCAUUUAUGGGUUAUAUCCGAAACUACUCGACCAAUAUAAAUGACAUUGAUAUGUUGUGAAAAUAGUUCAAAUGAGUUAAAUCGUGUCAUAACUUCCCCUAGCUCCCAUAUACUAAUAUUAGGGUUUUCAACCUUUCAAUGGACUUUAAACUAUAUGCCGAAUAUGUGAGUCAAAUUAUUUGUUAUAUUAAUAAAAUUAAAUAAAUAAAUUGUGAGAAUAUAAAAUGUUCGGUGACACCCUUAGCCCUUUCUUAGUUGUUUCCACUUCGUUUCGUAAAGCUGGAGCACUUAAAUGGGGACAUUCUCGUAUUUCCCGUACAAUCCAACGGGAAUCAAUUUCUUUAUAUAUUUUAUUAUGAGCUAAUUUUUUUAUUUGCGACAUGAUUUUUACAAAUGACAAAACUGAAAGAUCAAAACUAUUAAGUAUUAUCAGACAUGGUGUUCCGAUUGUCACUCUGAGCCAGUUUCACCACAAAUUUAAUAUAGGCGCGCUCGAAAAUAGCAGAAGUGAGCAUUUUCAGUGUUAAAUGAGAAAUAUUAUGUUAAUUUCAAUGUUAAUAACUAUACGCUUACAGUUUCGCUUCGUUUAUAUUUGAUAUCAAAAUACACACAUACAUAUGCAAAAGUUCAUGGUUUAUUCCAUAAAAUGCUUUGAAGUAUAUAAUACAUAUGUUUAAAUAUAUAGUAGCUGCCAUCGAUUGGUCACUUCUCUGUGCUGCUCGCCUGUCAAAAAUUUUACAUGUGAAAGCAACAACAAAAUUAUCUAGUUGAAUUCGUGCAGGAGAGUAUGCGAAUACCUCAUUAAAAAUUCUAUCGCCGCUUGCUGAGUGCUACCAAGUUUUGUUUUACACAUUUUAGAACCAUUUUACUAUUGUGAACGGCUCAAUGGAUAAAUUACUGUCAAAAUAAUUAAAAAUGUUAUACACAAAUUUGAAAUUGAAAAUGGCAGGCGAAGAUAAAUCAAAACGUAAGGCAUGGACGAAGGUUGAAGAGUUCAGUGCGACCAAGUAUAGACAAUCCGAUUUCAGUGCUGCAAGUUAGUAUGAAAAUUUGGAAAGUUUGUUCAACUGGCUUGUCUAUAGCAGUUAGCCAAUCGAUGACAGCUAAUAUGUGUAAUUAAACGCUACCUACAUAUGAGUAUUUAUUUUCUUUGGUUAUUAAAAGUUUCUAUAA